UGGGGAAUAUUGCACAAUGGAGGGAACUCUGAUGCAGCGACGCCGCGUGAGUGAUGAAGGACUUCGUUUCGUAAAACUCUGUUCUAUGGGAAGAAAAGGACUGUACCAUAGGAGAACGCUCCGGCUAAAUACGUGCCAGCAGCCGCGGUAAUACGUAUGGAGCGAGCGUUGUCCGGAAUUAUUGGGCGUAAAGGGUGCGCAGGCGGCUUUACAAGUUGGAUGUGAAAUAUUGUGGCUCAACCACAAACGUGCAUCCAAAACUGCAAAGCUUGAGUUAAGGAGAGGUAAGUGGAAUUCCUGGUGUAGCGGUGAAAUGCGUAGAGAUCAGGAGGAACACCGGUGGCGAAGGCGACUUACUGGACUUAAACUGACGCUCAGGCACGAAAGCGUGGGGAGCAAACAGG
rnacentral:rRNA from 1 species